rnacentral:rRNA from 1 species
AAUAUUGGACAAUGGGGGCAACCCUGAUCCAGCCAUGCCGCGUGUGUGAAGAAGGCCUUCGGAUUGUAAAUCACUUUAAGAUGGGCGGAUGGGCUUUAGGUUAAUACCCUGAAUCUUAGGCGUUCCUAACAGAAUAAGCACCGUCUAACUCUGUGCCAGCAGCCGCGGUAAUACAGAGGGUGCAAGCGUUAAGCGGAAUUACUGGGCGUAAAGCGCGCGUAGGUGGUUCAGUAAGAUGGGUGUGAAAUCCCCGGGCUUAACCUGGGAACUGCUUUCAUAACUGCUGAGCUAGAGUACGGUAGAGGGUAGUGGAAUUUCCUGUGUAGCGGUGAAAUGCGUAGAUAUAGGAAGGAACACCAGUGGCGAAGGCGACUACCUGGACUGAUACUGACACUGAGGUGCGAAAGCGUGGGGAGCAAAC